CGCAUCACUGGUGUUCGGGUUGUCAUGCCAAUGGCACUGCCCGGUAGCUAAAUGCGGAAGAGAUAAGUGCUGAAAGCAUCUAAGCACGAAACUUGCCCCGAGAUGAGUUCUCCCUGAGACUUUAAGUCUCCUGAAGGAACGUUAAAGACGAUGACGUUGAUAGGCCGGGUGUGUAAGCGCAGCGAUGCGUUGAGCUAACCGGUACUAAUGAACCGUGAGGCUUAACCUUACAACGCCGAAG
rnacentral:rRNA from 1 species